rnacentral:rRNA from 1 species
GUGGUUAAUUCGAUGCAACGCCGAAGAACCUUACCUGGUCUUGACAUCCACGGAAGUUUCAGAGAUGAGAAUGUGCCUUCGGGAACCGUGAGACAGGUGCUGCAUGGCUGUCGUCAGCUCGUGUUGUGAAAUGUUGGGUUAAGUCCCGCAACGAGCGCAACCCUUAUCCCUUUGUUGCCAGCGGUCCGGCCGGGAACUCAAAGGAGACUGCCAGUGAUAAACUGGAGGAAGGUGGGGAUGACGUCAAGUCAUCAUGGCCCUUACGACCAGGGCUACACACGUGCUACAAUGGCGCAUACAAAGAGAAGCGACCUCGCGAGAGCAAGCGGACCUCAUAAAGUGCGUCGUAGUCCGGAUUGGAGUCUGCAACUCGACUCCAUGAAGUCGGAAUCGCUAGUAAUCGUGGAUCAGAAUGUCACGGUGAAUACGUUCCCGGGUCUU